ACUAUUUAAUUUGUUAUGAUCCAUGAAAACUGUAUACAUGUACCUAAGCACGGGCACACACAGUUUCAAGGAAAAGUGAUAGAAAAACAGGAAACAUUUUUCUCCAUGUAUACAUGUACAUAUGUAUUCUAACUAUUUUUUCUCCAUUUUUUUCAUUUUUUCACUUGUUUCUUUUCUUCCCUCCCUUUCUGAGAUCCUUUUCAUAUCCUUUAUGCAUAUCUCUCCCUCCCUCUCUUUCUAUUAUAGUCUCUCCUAUAUGUCAGGAAGGUUUGAGUCUCUUCACUUUAAUGUCAUCCUCUUAAUUAAAUGAAUGUGACAUGUGAUGUUAGUCAGGUGAUGUUGUGUAGGUAAGGAUCACUAGUGGGUACCUGGUGGAGUGAGGCGAGGUGUGGCCAGAAAGGAAGUUGUGAUGAUGAAAUUAAAGCUAUAUUAUGCUACCUCCUGGAGGUUCCCUGUCAUGGACUGGUGAUAUGUAGUGGGUCAAUAUUACAGUGGGACCCACGUCUACCAGGAGACUAUUAGACCACACCCAGGAGGUCUGUGGGAUUCAAUAGUCACCAAAUCAUCAGCAACUGGUGGCAAGAGGAAAUGAUAAUAUAUGUGUACUUCAGUACUAGUUCUCAAGAUACACCCACUCACUGGCAUCAGAGGAUAUUCUUCCUCAAUGAACCCGUACAAGUUCAAACAGGUUUUUCUGCCUGUACUUCUCACUCCUGUCGUCAUUGUGGGGCUUCUGUAUGUAGUCUGGACCUUGUGGUCUUUUGUGUAAGAAGGGAGGUAUGCAUUUCAAUUAGUAUUCUGGGAACGAGAAUGCCUUUCUGUCACUCUCCAUUAGGGGAAUGCUCUUUGAUGAUGGACAUUUUACGUUUU
rnacentral:lncRNA from 1 species